GUCAGUGUGGCAUAGUGGUUUGAGUGUUAAACUAUGACUCUCAAGACCAGUGCUCAAUUCCCAGCUUGGUCA